GAGGAGGAGGACGAAAGGCCGCCGGCCCCAGCCCGACGUUUUGCCGGUCAGGGUAACAGGUCACACUUCGAGCAGUUCGGAGGUUUCCAAUCGGUGCAAGCGCUGAGACAGGGGUGCUCGGAACAAAGAGCAAUCUUGCCCUCACGCGCACUGUGAGUGGUCUUCGUCCAAGCCAGGCUGUGUCCACAAGCUUCCAGCUGACAUUUGGAAGAAAGAUACGCUCCUUCUGAGCUGAUUUUGGAGAGUUCUACAAAUACGCCUCAUGGCCCCGUUCUCGGACCUCUGACCCCACUCCCACGUGAGGGCCAGGACGGAUCAGCGCAGCCCUGUGUGUGGUUCAUGUCUUCCAAGGUUCACAUCAGCUCCUCCAAGAGCUUCAUACCUCCGUGACGACGAAUGUCACUUGGACAUAAAGGGGGUACAACUAGACAACCUUGCUUCCUUCCAUGGGUACAACUAGACAACUCAUGCCAG
rnacentral:lncRNA from 1 species